AGAUCAGAACACAGCAUCCCCUUUGUAGAAAAUGAGAGAUUCCUGAUUUUUUGCUACUACUUAGAGACCCACAAAGUAUUCAGUCCUCAUUGCUGUCAUUAAAAGUGAUAAAGAAAUCAAAUAACCAUGCUAACAAUAGAGUUUUGCUUCACAAGGGGAUGGUUGGCUGGAGGAACGCAGAAGGCAAGUCAGAGAAGAUUCUUGCUGUUGUUUUGAACAACCAGAAGUAUUCAUUCUUUCUUGAUAAUAAGAAUGUAUAGUAACAGGAGAAGGAUCUUGCGAUAAAUAAAUGUGAUGCCAAGAACUAAUUAAUGAUGGAACUGUUGGUUGUAUACAGUGAUACUGAGGAACAACAACAACAGCCUGAUUAAAAGUAAAGGGUGGUGAUAUUCUGGACUUUUCCUCAAAGAGAGAGCCUGAACAAAAUGUAUGAUUCAAGUAAUCCUGACCUCACACAAGACUCAGGAAAUGCAACAAGGAGAGGCCACAUGCAAACACAAGGAGUUUCUAGAAUCUGAAGAAGUUCCUGAAUCAAUUCCAGUUGACAUGAAACAUCAGAGUAUUGCUCAGAUAAUAUGCUGGAUGCAGAGAGGAAGACAGGUAAAUGAGAACAUAGCUGUAAUUCCUCUGAUGAUGUUUGAUGUGCAGCAGCGUGGUCUCAAGAUUGUCAACAAGAUCAGACCCGUCACCAGCUGUAUGGAGGUAUACAAAGAGAGAAAAUAUAUCAAUGUAUGGACAGCUCAAGAGAAACAGAUAUUUAAGGAGAAAUACCCGCAACAUCAGAAAAUUUUCAAUCUUACUGCUUCAUUUCUUUAGAAAAAGAUUAUGCAGAGUACUGUUCAAGAUCAAAGAAGAAAACUACAGAAAAUAUGUUGAAAAUGUUGAAAAUAAAAAGGGAUGGUGAGAAAGAAGAGGCAGCAGCAGAAAGCACAGGUA